rnacentral:lncRNA from 1 species
CUGCCAUGUUUAGGCGGGGACAAGUGACGGCUUGCCCUUUUUUCUCCCCACCAAUCUUCCAUUAAGAUCCGUAAGUUGCCGGGAUGCUGGCAACCGGGACGACGGUCUCAGGCCAGUCGCCGGUGGUUGAGGUCGGUUGGUGCUCGCCGGCGGUGAAUAAAAGAUGGGGAGAUCCGGCUAUUGGGGUUUUGGGGUUUUUGGUUGU